rnacentral:rRNA from 2 species
AACGCUAGCUACAGGCUUAACACAUGCAAGUCGAGGGGCAGCAUGGUCUUAGCUUGCUAAGGCCGAUGGCGACCGGCGCACGGGUGAGUAACACGUAUCCAACCUGCCGUCUACUCUUGGACAGCCUUCUGAAAGGAAGAUUAAUACAAGAUGGCAUCAUGAGUCCGCAUGUUCACAUGAUUAAAGGUAUUCCGGUAGACGAUGGGGAUGCGUUCCAUUAGAUAGUAGGCGGGGUAACGGCCCACCUAGUCUUCGAUGGAUAGGGGUUCUGAGAGGAAGGUCCCCCACAUUGGAACUGAGACACGGUCCAAACUCCUACGGGAGGCAGCAGUGAGGAAUAUUGGUCAAUGGGCGAGAGCCUGAACCAGCCAAGUAGCGUGAAGGAUGACUGCCCUAUGGGUUGUAAACUUCUUUUAUAAAGGAAUAAAGUCGGGUAUGCAUACCCGUUUGCAUGUACUUUAUGAAUAAGGAUCGGCUAACUCCGUGCCAGCAGCCGCGGUAAUACGGAGGAUCCGAGCGUUAUCCGGAUUUAUUGGGUUUAAAGGGAGCGUAGAUGGAUGUUUAAGUCAGUUGUGAAAGUUUGCGGCUCAACCGUAAAAUUGCAGUUGAUACUGGAUAUCUUGAGUGCAGUUGAGGCAGGCGGAAUUCGUGGUGUAGCGGUGAAAUGCUUAGAUAUCACGAAGAACUCCGAUUG